CGGCGGACGGGUGAGUAACACGUGGGUAACCUACCCAUAAGACUGGGAUAACUCCGGGAAACCGGGGCUAAUACCGGAUAAUAUUUUGAACUGCAUAGUUCGAAAUUGAAAGGCGGCUUCGGCUGUCACUUAUGGAUGGACCCGCGUCGCAUUAGCUAGUUGGUGAGGUAACGGCUCACCAAGGCGACGAUGCGUAGCCGACCUGAGAGGGUGAUCGGCCACACUGGGACUGAGACACGGCCCAGACUCCUACGGGAGGCAGCAGUAGGGAAUCUUCCGCAAUGGACGAAAGUCUGACGGAGCAACGCCGCGUGAGUGAUGAAGGCUUUCGGGUCGUAAAACUCUGUUGUUAGGGAAGAACAAGUGCUAGUUGAAUAAGCUGGCACCUUGACGGUACCUAACCAGAAAGCCACGGCUAACUACGUGCCAGCAGCCGCGGUAAUACGUAGGUGGCAAGCGUUAUCCGGAAUUAUUGGGCGUAAAGCGCGCGCAGGUGGUUUCUUAAGUCUGAUGUGAAAGCCCACGGCUCAACCGUGGAGGGUCAUUGGAAACUGGGAGACUUGAGUGCAGAAGAGGAAAGUGGAAUUCCAUG
rnacentral:rRNA from 1 species